GAUUUCUAUCUGUCAAGGGAUAUGCAAUCCCAGAAUGAAGCCUAUCUGCAAGGAGACAAAUCUGUAUGGUAUUUGUGGAAAUCUUGGGGCUUGCUCCUCUUCUACACUAUUUUGAUCAACUUAAUGAGAAGCACAAGGGCUCUGAUUAAUACAGCACGUGAAGUUGUUCUCCGCAGUUGACACAGAGCCUCCUGCACCUGCACGUGUCUGGCGGAUCUCAUUUACAUUACCAUGCUGAUGGACAAUGAUUAGGAAACAACCAUAGCCUUGCCAGAGGUGAGGAGUGUGUUUCCAAUGUGUUCCCCACUGUUUCCU
rnacentral:lncRNA from 1 species